UGGGGAAUAUUGCACAAUGGGCGCAAGCCUGAUGCAGCCAUGCCGCGUGUGUGAAGAAGGCCUUCGGGUUGUAAAGCACUUUCAGCGGGGAGGAAGGCGUUAAGGUUAAUAACCUUGGCGAUUGACGUUACCCGCAGAAGAAGCACCGGCUAACUCCGUGCCAGCAGCCGCGGUAAUACGGAGGGUGCAAGCGUUAAUCGGAAUUACUGGGCGUAAAGCGCACGCAGGCGGUCUGUCAAGUCGGAUGUGAAAUCCCCGGGCUUAACCCGGGAAUUGCAUCUGAUACUGGUCAGCUAGAGUCUUGUAGAGGGGGGUAGAAUUCCAUGUGUAGCGGUGAAAUGCGUAGAGAUGUGGAGGAAUACCGGUGGCGAAGGCGGCCCCCUGGACAAAGACUGACGCUCAGGUGCGAAAGCGUGGGGAGCAAACAGG
rnacentral:rRNA from 1 species